GCGCUCGUAGCCCAACCGGUAGAGGCACCGCGUUUAGGUCGCGGCCAGUGAGAGUUCGAAUCUCUCCGAGCGCA
rnacentral:tRNA from 1 species